CGCAUCAGUCGACAUCGAAAGCAUUGUGUAAAGUGCCGUGCGAUCUUCAUAAAGGUGAUUGUCGUCGUAUUCACCAUUGUAUCGGCUAUCUGUUGUUACACCGCGAGUAUCGCGAGAAUCUGUUUUUAACUGAAUUCGUCGCGAGAGCGACGGCGUCAGUGAUCCGUCGGCAGUCAGUCGCGCGUGUUUGUUUUCAUUCUCUAAUUCGUAUGUUUAUCAGCAUACGUGAGAACGCGGACGUGUCGUCCGAAGACGUUGUGUUUGUUGUGCGUUAGUAACGGUUGCGGCCACCGAAUCAAAAAUUUUGUCGAUCGUCGUGGCGAGGUAAAUGUAUCGCAUGAAGGUGUCCGCGCGUACCUAUCGUUCGAGAGUCGUCGUCGUCGGUCGGCCAACGUCAUUGCUAUUGGAUGCCGAGUGACGCAGAUCGCAACUCGCUUGCCGUUUCGCGUUAAUUUCCCGUUGUCGCGACAUAAUAAAUUGCGCAUCGUGCACAUCGGAAGUGCCUGACAAGUGCAAGGCGCCGCGCGAUCUUUAUAUCGAAGUGAUUAGUGCCGUAUGUGCCGGCAACUUGUUAGAUCGCGAAUUUCGUUCGAAGCUUGUUGUGCGAGCGACGGCAUCAGUGAAUUCUAUCGCCCGUCGGUCGAUCGCAUUUUUCAAUCCGCGGCUGUUUGUUUUCGGUUUCGAUUCGUAUGUUUAUCUGCGUACGUGAGAACGUGGACAUAGUAAUCGUCCGGAGCAGCGCGUGUUGUGUGUGAGCAACAGCCCCGACUGCCCGGUCGACAGGUUAUGUUGCGCCGCACGGCGCGGCGUAAAUGUGAUCGCGCGUACAUACUUCUGCCCUCGAGAUUCGUCGUCUAUCGCGGAGUGCCGUUCAGAAUGUUGCGCGAUUGUCGAGGUGAUUAUUGCUAACAAUAAGUAGUAGUGUUUUCGUGAGUGCUAGUGCCAUAAAAAAGCAGAAACAAGAGAGGAGAAGGAGGAGGAGGACUUGGGAGGCACCAGGCAACGGCGAAGCAACCACGAGGUUGACGUUGAAAACUUCGCUGCUGCGCAUCGUGUGUGUCGAUUGGAGCACAAAAUUGGACCAUUAAGAAGACAGUGGUA
rnacentral:lncRNA from 13 species